UGUUGGUGCUGCUAUGGCUAAAACAUUCAAGUACCUGAAACAUCCAGAUACAGAUGUAAUGCUAAUUACAGAGUUUCAUCGGAGUUUUUGAAGUUUUGAAUUUGAAGUCAUGUAAAAACACCAAAAGUUGCCUUUUAUAAGUCCACAAAGCAUUUGAAUAUCUUUAAUAGAAGAAUGGUAAACUCUCCUCCACCUGAAGAAAUGUUUGAUCUGAGUGAAUACCAUGAGAUGGUUGCAAAGAAUGAGAUCCCUAAUUCAUGGCUUUAGGAAACCUAAUCUUUAUUUCAAGCUGGAAGACGCAGCCCAGGAUUUUCUUAAUGCUCAGGUCCACCCCAUCGCCAGUCCAUGAGAAAUGUAUCUGCCACAGCUCACGUAUCCAGGCAAGAGCCGCUUAUCCCUUGUGUGGAAAAUGACAUUCCACAGAGCCCCCUUCCACCACUGCUGGCUUCUUUUAGAAUUGAAACUCAGAACAAAGGGGUGAGAAGAGACAAACAACAAAGGACCUGACACUUUGUGAAGAAUGACAGCAAUGCCUAUGAGACUGUGACCUCUUUCAGCAUAAGGACCAUUCAACUAUUUCUACUCUCCUGAACCUGUCAUUCAGUCAAAAAUCUGUUGAAAAGAACAUUGCCUAUUGCCUCAGUGCUGGAUCUGGAAAACAUACUGAAAACAAUGGUGCUAUGCUGUCCUGAUGGAGGAAAUUGCAACAGCAGAGAAAGAAGCAAUGAAAAAACAUACCCUGGUUGAAGAAUUCUUUUUUUUUAAUGCAGCAAUAAUGCCAGCAAAUAAUUGAGAACUCUGGGUGAAGAGAUGCCAAAGAGAGACAGCAUUCCUCCCUUUAAGGCCAUCUAAUCACAAAAUUCAGACUGACGUCAAAGGAACCUGAUUAAUUAACCUUCAAGAUCUCAAUUCAAUGAUUAUCCAGUAUGUAAAGAAGAGUAAUUAUUGAAGUUUACCCAAAUGUUCCCAUAAUGAAGAUUCACUGUGGAUGAUACAUUAAUGCAUUAAAAGCAGAAUAUGAAAAUUCAAAGGAAAUAACUUCAAUACUAAAAUUUGGGUAUUCCCAAAGGUGUCCAUGUGGGGAAAUCUAAUACAGGAAGUGAUAACAAAGUGCUUCGCUUAAGUUUGAAGCCUGUUUGUGCUUGAGGAAGAAAUGAGAAAUGAGCUGAAUAAAAGAACGUGUGAAAGCCAAGGACGCAGCCACCACGCUGUAAGAAAACCAAGCCACAUGGAGGGGCCACGUGUCCUGCCAGCAUCUUUGCCAACAGCCCCAGUAAGCUCCCUGCUGACGGUGUCGCAGCAACAUUUGCCAUCAUGUGAAUGAGUCACCUGAAUGUCCAGCCUAAUUGUACCUUCAGAGACACCAGCCUCAGCUUCCAACUGAAACCCAGGAGACAUCAAAUGAGAACCACCCAGAAAACUAUAGUGGACUUGAAAAAUAGGAACCUGAUAUGUGCCCGUUCUUCUGUGCGAAAAGAAAAAUGUUUUACCUUUCAUUUAAAGAAGACUGUUGUUACAGGCUAUUUGGUGAGUAAUACAAUUUUGAAGAUGGUAUCUCUAACAAGAAAAAAAUAAUUUAAAAAACCCUGCCCUUUUCCUUUAUCCCAGCGGUCUCUCCAACAAGACUGUUACGUUUUAAGUAUUAGUCACAAUUAUACCAAUAAGACGACUCUGAAGAAGAA